GACAGAGGUGCCGAGCGUUAGGCGGAAUCACUGGGCGUAAAGCGUGCGCAGGCGGUUCGUUGUGUCGGUGGUGAAAUCCCCGGGCUUAACCUGGGAAUGGCCAUGGAAACUGGCGAACUGGAGUGCGGCAGAGGGGGGUGGAAUUCCGCGUGUAGCAGUGAAAUGCGUAGAGAUGCGGAGGAACACCGAUGGCGAAGGCAGCCCCCUGGGCUAGCACUGACGCUCAGGCACGAAAGCGUGGGGAGCAAACAGG
rnacentral:rRNA from 1 species